GCGAGUGGCGAACGGGUGAGUAAUAUAUCGGAACGUGCCCUGGAGUGGGGGAUAACGCAGCGAAAGUUGCGCUAAUACCGCAUACGAUCUAAGGAUGAAAGCAGGGGACCGCAAGGCCUUGUGCUCCUGGAGCGGCCGAUAUCUGAUUAGCUAGUUGGUGGGGUAAAGGCCUACCAAGGCAUCGAUCAGUAGCUGGUCUGAGAGGACGACCAGCCACACUGGAACUGAGACACGGUCCAGACUCCUACGGGAGGCAGCAGUGGGGAAUUUUGGACAAUGGGCGCAAGCCUGAUCCAGCAAUGCCGCGUGAGUGAAGAAGGCCUUCGGGUUGUAAAGCUCUUUUGUCAGGGAAGAAACGGUGAGUUCUAAUACAGUUCACUAAUGACGGUACCUGAAGAAUAAGCACCGGCUAACUACGUGCCAGCAGCCGCGGUAAUACGUAGGGUGCAAGCGUUAAUCGGAAUUACUGGGCGUAAAGCGUGCGCAGGCG
rnacentral:rRNA from 1 species